rnacentral:SRP_RNA from 1 species
ACUGGGAGUUGUGGCGUGCUCCUGUAAUCCAGCUACUUGGAGGUCAGGGUUGGUGGACGGUUUGAGGGCGGGGGUCCUGCUCUCCGGCGACCUAUGUCAGCUCGGGGGAGCCCAGGCUCACCAGGUUGUCUAAGGAGGGACGUACAGGCCCAGGGUGGUGACACAGCAGGCAGAAGUCCCCGUGUUCUGCAGUAGUGGGAUCGCGCCCGUGAAUAGGCACCGGUUGGCAGCCCGUCCAAUACAAUUGAACCCAAUUCUUU